UACGUAGGGCGCAAGCGUUAUCCGGAAUUAUUGGGCGUAAAGAGCUCGUAGGCGGUUUGUCGCGUCUAUCGUGAAAGUCCGAGGCUCAACUUCGGAUCUGCGGUGGGUACGGGCAGACUAGAGUGAUGUAGGGGAGACUGGAAUUCCUGGUGUAGCGGUGAAAUGCGCAGAUAUCAGGAGGAACACCGGUGGCGAAGGCGGGUCUCUGGGCAGUAACUGACGCUGAGGAGCGAAAGCGUGGGUAGCGAACAGGAUUAGAAACCCUGGUAGUCC
rnacentral:rRNA from 1 species